GAAAUGCGAUAAGUAAUGUGAAUUGCAGAAUUCAGUGAAUCAUCGAAUCUUUGAACGCAUCUUGCGCUCCUUGGUAUUCCUUGGAGCAUGCCUGUUUGAGUAUCAUGAAAUCUUCAAAGUACAUCUUUUGUUAACUCAAUUGGUUUCUACUUUGGUAUUGGAGGUCUUUGCAGCUUCACACCUGCUCCUCUUUGUUCAUUAGCUGGAUCUCAGUGUUAUGCUUGGUUCCACUCGGCGUGAUAAGUUAUCUAUCGCUGAGGACACUGUAAAAGGUGGCCAAGGUAAAUGCAGAUGAACCGCUUCUAAUAGUCCAUUGACUUGGACAAUACUUUUAUGAUCUGAUCUCAAAUCAGGUAGGACUACCCGCUGAACUUAAGC
rnacentral:misc_RNA from 1 species